UACGUAGGGGGCAAGCGUUAUCCGGAUUUACUGGGUGUAAAGGGAGCGUAGACGGCGAAGAAAGUCUGAAGUAAAAGCCCGCGGCUCAACCGCGGAACUGCUUUGGAAACUUUUUUGCUGGAGUACCGGAGAGGUAAGCGGAAUUCCUAGUGUAGCGGUGAAAUGCGUAGAUAUUAGGAGGAACACCAGUGGCGAAGGCGGCUUACUGGACGGUAACUGACGUUGAGGCUCGAAAGCGUGGGGAGCAAACAGG
rnacentral:rRNA from 1 species